CAUAAUGAUGCUGAAUGGUUAGCAUCAUUACUUUUCUAAAUUCCAGAGAAAAAUUUUCUAAAACAAUGUAUGUUGAGACAAAGACAUAUUUAUAGAAAAGCUAACGAUUCUUUGCGGGUUCACUGCAGUUCCUUUGUUCUAUUAUAUUCAGGUAAAAUUUGUUAGUGUCAGGCGUUGUGUGGGGUGAAGACAGGAGUUAGAGUCAAAAAGAAUUUUUGCAGUUUAAGGCUUUAUUGGGAACUAAGGUUCCGGGCGAGGUUCCAUGACUCAAGGAGGGAGUCAGGGAAAUCGCGCCCGGGUAUGGUGGGAUAGGGUUUUUAAGCUGUAGCAGUUCCGGGUUUAGGCUCGGGGUGGGUCUUUCUCUCGUGCCAUGUUGCGCUGUCGCUCGGUAAUUGGUUGACCUUCAGUUCGCUCUGGAGAGCCGCUCGGGGCUUUCCCUUGGAUUGUGCUGGCGCUCGGUGAUUGGUUUACCUUCAGUUUGCUCCGCGCGCUGGCGAGAGGGCCGCCCCCUUCCAGGGACAUCCUAACAUUCCAACCUCUUAUUGGUGAUAAUGGGCGAUGGAUCUGAUCUGGCUGCUUCCUGCGGUGUAAAGGCGAGGCCAUAGUAUGUGGGGUCUGAGGUUGGAAUGCGGAAUAGGGCCGGACCACCAUCUGAUGAAAUGCGACCUGGGAAACUUCAUGAAUUCGUUUCCAUACGAAACGGAGAAAACAAGGAGCUGCCCAUUCUGAGAGGAAAUCAUGUAAAUGAAACAGGAACUUUGGCAUAAAGAACGAUAGCUCCACGAGGACUGGGAUCUUUGUGGUUUUGCUAUAUUCACCCCACAGCGAAUCCAGUGUGUGUGGUGGUGUGAUUCCUUUCUGCCACGCUAACUCACUCUGCGAAAGUUUCCGUGGGUGAGGAAUCCAGCCCAGCCUGACUGAAUGCCUCUCUUCAGAGUCUCUCCCAAGGCUGCAAUCAAGGGGUCAGCCAGGAUGGCAGCCUUCUCAAGGCUCAACGAGGGGAGGAUCCAAUUCCAAGGAUGAAAUGGAUUCUAGAGAUGGCUGAUUGUAAUGGCUGCACAACAAAAUGAAUGCACUUAGGUCAGAAAUAAUUGUCUCCUCUUGGAAGCCACUGAUGGGACAAAACUUUGACAUGGAUCUGCAGAGUGAAAGGAAUGAUUCAAAGGGAAUCUGGGAAUCCACAACAUUUGUUUCAUUUAUUCAUUCAUUCAUUUGUAUACAUUUAUGUAUAUUCUUUCAUCUAUUUAUCCAGCCUAUGUAUUAGUUUUCUACCACGACAGUAACCAAUAUCACAAAUUUAGUAUUUUAAUAUAACACACAUAUAGUACCUUACAAUUAUGUAGGUUAGAAGUACAGGUGAAAAUCAAAGUAUCACCUGCCUAGGAUCUCAUGUGGAAGCUCAUAAAAGAAUCUUGUAAACUUAUAAACCCAUUCAAGUUGUUGCCAGAAUCCAGUUCCUUACAGAUGUAAAGUGAGGUUUUCACUUUCUUUCUCACGGCCAGCUGGAGAUUUCCCUUAGCUCCUAGAUAUCUGUCUCUGAUCCUUGCUUAUGGCCUUCUACAUAUAGGAACCAACAACUGGGCAGUCAUCCUUCUCAUACUUGGAAUCUCUCCGACUUCCUGUUACCAGGAUAAUUCAGGAAAUGGUCCACACCAUCUUAGGGUUCAUAAUCUGCAUUAUAUCUGCAAAGUCCCUGUGAAUGUAACACAUUCACAUCCAGGGUGUGAACUUCUCUGGAGUGCCAUUCUGCUUACCAAAGCCAACAGUAAUUAUUGUUGCUAUGGACCUUUUCUAUUUUCAGUAAAUUCUAUAUCAAUGAAUGGAGGAGGAGGGCUGCUCAGUAACCUUGUCGAAGCCCUGCCAAGAAGUGACCUCUUAGCCACAGGUUUCAUGAACAACCUCACAUUUUAGCCAUUAAAAAAACAAAACAAAACAAAACAAAAAACAAAACUCAUUUCCAACCCUGAACUAUGUUAGUAGUUUUCUACUGGUUAUUUAAAAAAUUAUCAAAGUGUAUUUUUUAGCUUAUAGAAUCAUAAAUAGUCGGCAGAAAUUGCACACAAAUAUAUAAUAAGGAUAUGACUUGUGUAACUAAUUUAUUGCUAAAUCUUCUACCUUGUGUGGAAGUGGGGAUUCUCAUACACUGCUACUGAAAGGUAAAUUUCUGGAGUGUGAUUUGGCAACAUAUAGAAAAGCCCCCAAAUAUGUAUAGUCUUUAACACAUAAAUUGUCAUUCCAGGAAUUUCUCUGAAAGAAACAACAAUGGAGGGGCACCUGGCUGUCUCAGUAGAAUGUGUGACUCUUGAUCUCAGGGUCUUGAGUUCAAGCCCCAUAUUGGGUGUAGAGAUUACUUAAAAGAUAAAAAAUCUUAAGAACAUAUAUUUAAAAAAAAGAAAUAACAGUAGCUAUGGAUAAAGCUUUCACUACAAAUAUAGUCAAAUGAACAUAUAUGAAUGUAAAGUAAAAAAAUAAUGAUAUAAAUAUAUAUGAAAAUGGUUACAAAUUAUGCUUCUUCCAUACAGUGAAAUGAUGUUUUAUGACAAAACUCGUUGACAGGUUUGGAGAUCUGACUUCACAGGGAACCUGUGUCCCCAAAUCAGGCCAAACCUGGGAGAGCUAGAUAGGGCCCAAAUUUUUCCUUGCCCAAUAAACAAAAGAAGAAAUAUCUACAUGGUGAAUCUGGGCCAAGUUCUAGUAUAAAUCAAGAAGCAUAAUUUCCCUUAUCCCUGGUGGGACAUAGUUGUGGUGAAAGACCUUGGACCGUAACAGGUCUUGAAAACUCCAGAACAUCACAGGCAACCUGCCCAAGUUUCCUGAGGGAGAAGUCAGACCGGGAGAGACUUUGUCGUCAUGAUUCCUACAAGGACCAACAAUUGAGAACCUGGCAGUAUUUGCACAUAUUGUAGGAACAAAAAAGAAAGGAGCAAAUGGACACAAUCACCUCCAAAAAGUGAUAACAUUCAAUAAUAAGAUGACACUGGCUGACAUUCAGAAGACAUUGGAUAUCUUCUCUUCUAGGGCUUGGAAUUUUUCUACCCAGCUAAGAAGGCAACAACCCCAAGAUCCCUCCAUGGAAAUGGCGCUGAGCGUAUGAUCCUGCAGACAUAUUGCCUCCAAGGGAAUACCUGCCUGAGAAGGACCAGAAGGAGAAAGUGGAGCCUAAUACAGAAGGAGUGGGGACCUAACGAUAUACUUUCUGGUGUCUCUCAGGGUCUCAGGUUUCCUAAUUGAAAUGUGCCGAAGCAAUUGAAAUGUGGUACCUCAGUGAAUUACUGUCAGACACCGUAACCUUUCGACCAGCUAGAAUCUUGUCGUGAGAGGAGACCGUGUACGUUGGUGAAAGUUUAGAAAAAAGAAUCCCCCUUAUUCAAUCAACUAACAAAGACCCAUGGAGUACCCCGGUGGGGGCCCCAAAGAAGAUGCAAAGAAGAAAAACACAAUCUUUGCCCUGAAGGAGUCGUCAUCUUUUGAGGAAACAAAACAUCAUGUCAUAGUUAUACUGUAGUGAGCUCAAGCUCUCAAACCCAAUAAAAUAUGGGAUAUUCA